AAAAGAAACCAACAGGGAUUGCCUUAGUAACUGCGAGUGAAGCGGCAAAAGCUCAAAUUUGAAAUCUGACGUUCAUAUUGACGUUCGAGUUGUAAUUUGGAGGAGCGCCUUCGGGAGCCAACGCCGUCCUAAGUUCUUUUGGAACUGGACAUCACAGAGGGUGAGAAUCCCGUAUGUGGGCGGCAGUCUGGUUCCCAUACGAAGUGUUUCCGACGAGUCGAGUUGUUUG
rnacentral:rRNA from 1 species